rnacentral:rRNA from 1 species
UACGUAGGGGGCGAGCGUUGUCCGGAUUUAUUGGGCGUAAAGGGCGUGUAGGCGGCCGCGUAAGGGUGGGGUGAAAUCUCCCGGCUCAACUGGGAGGGGUCCUUGCCGACUGCGUAGCUUGAGGCUGGUAGGGGCACAUGGAAUUCCCGGUGUAGUGGUGAAAUGCGUAGAGAUCGGGAGGAACACCGGUGGCGAAGGCGGUGUGCUGGGCCAAGCCUGACGCUGAAACGCGAAAGCGUGGGGAGCGAACUGG